AAACAUGAAUGACAACCCAGCAUCUAUGAGCUGUUAUUUCCUAGAAAUCUCCCUAAUAUAUCUUCAUUUUCAUUUACAGCUCUCGGAGAAGAACAAAAGACUGGUAACCCAAGAAAUUUUCUCUUGUAACAUAGAGACUGUUGGUAUGCUUCACCCCCAUCCCGGAACUACCUCUGCUUCAGUGACUCCCGCAACCACUGGAUCGUGAGUAAGGAAUCCCCUUCGAUGAUAACACCCUGUAAUCCCAGAUCGUUUCCCAAAAUAACUGCCUGUAAACAUGCAACGGCCUCGGCUGCAAACCCCAUACCUUGGUCUGGUGGCCACCAUUCUGCAGUUAUCGGGCUAAAGGCAAGCUUACCUCAUUUAACGUUGUUGAGAUCAUAUAGCCCAGAUGGUACACAAAAAAGAACGACAGAUAUCCAUACUGCUAUUUGAAACAAUACAGUGCAGUCACGAAAUACAUGGUUCCUGUUCUCCACUCCUUGUUUACACCUCGGACAAACAUCAUCAGUAAUGAGCCUUUUAGUUCGUAGAUUUGAUAGUGUAGAAAGGUAGUUUAAAGUGGCUCUCCAUGCUGUAAUUUUUAACUUUGAAGGGAGGUCACUUUUCCACAAGUUUUUGUAGCAUUUCCUGUUUUCACUUGGGUUGUAUCCAUUAUUAUUGAUGGAAUUGCCAUGUAAAAGUAACCUAUACCCACUUCUUACUAUGUAUUCGCCUGUCGGUUCGCCUCUCCAAGCCAGAAAGUCAUCCUGUGGCAAACGAGCAGGCGGGAUUUGGAGGAUUCGCUGGGCAUCUACUUCGGAGAAGAUGUUCAUCAUCUGGAGCCCAUACAUCCUCCUCGAUACUGAUAUUCCAGCCCGUUCCCACCCUCCAACAGAGUCCUGACUGCAAAAGGCCUUUUGCAGCCCAUAUACUUUUCCAAGUAUAUGAAGAUACUCUGUAAUUGCGCACGCAGACUAUCUGGGUUGUGUGAUUUUCUCGUCCAAACAGUACAAAGCAGCGUCGGAUUUUUACUUGGAGUAACUAAAGAACUUUUCACUGUUAAUUGAAUUAAUUCUUCUUCAAGGA